rnacentral:rRNA from 1 species
GGGAGCUUGCUCCUGGAUUCAGCGGCGGACGGGUGAGUAAUGCCUAGGAAUCUGCCUGGUAGUGGGGGAUAACGUCCGGAAACGGGCGCUAAUACCGCAUACGUCCUGAGGGAGAAAGUGGGGGAUCUUCGGACCUCACGCUAUCAGAUGAGCCUAGGUCGGAUUAGCUAGUUGGUGGGGUAAAGGCCUACCAAGGCGACGAUCCGUAACUGGUCUGAGAGGAUGAUCAGUCACACUGGAACUGAGACACGGUCCAGACUCCUACGGGAGG